rnacentral:rRNA from 1 species
AGAGCGAACGCUGGCGGCAGGCCUAACACAUGCAAGUCGAGCGCGUGUAGCAAUACACGAGCGGCAGACGGGAGAGUAACACGUGGGAACGCGCCCUUUGGUUCGGAAUAACUCAGGGAAACUUGAGCUAAUACCGGAUAAGCCCUUACGGGGAAAGAUUUAUCGCCAAAGGAACGGCCCGCGUCCGAUUAGCUAGUUGGUGAGGUAACGGCUCACCAAGGCGACGAUCGGUAGCUGGUCUGAGAGGAUGGACCAGCCUCACUGGGACUGAGACACGGCCCAGACUCCUACGGGAGGCAGCAGUGGGGAAUAUUGGACAAUGGGCGCAAGGCCUGAUCCAGCCAUGCCGCGUGGAUGAUGAAGGCCUUAGGGUUGUAAAGUCCUUUUAACGGGAAGAUAAGUGACGGUACCCGUAGAAUAAGCCCGGCUAACUUCGUGCCAGCAGCCGC